rnacentral:rRNA from 1 species
UACGUAGGGUGCGAGCGUUAAUCGGAAUUACUGGGCGUAAAGCGUGCGCAGGCGGUGAUGUAAGACAGGUGUGAAAUCCCCGGGCUUAACCUGGGAACUGCAUUUGUGACUGCAUCGCUGGAGUGCGGCAGAGGGGGAUGGAAUUCCGCGUGUAGCAGUGAAAUGCGUAGAUAUGCGGAGGAACACCGAUGGCGAAGGCAAUCCCCUGGGCCUGCACUGACGCUCAUGCACGAAAGCGUGGGGAGCAAACAGGGAUUAGAAC